CUCCUUUGACGUUAGCGGCGGACGGGUGAGUAACACGUGGGUAACCUACCUAUAAGACUGGAAUAACUCCGGGAAACCGGGGCUAAUGCCGGAUAACAUUUAGAACCGCAUGGUUCUAAAGUGAAAGAUGGUUUUGCUAUCACUUAUAGAUGGACCCGCGCCGUAUUAGCUAGUUGGUAAGGUAACGGCUUACCAAGGCAACGAUACGUAGCCGACCUGAGAGGGUGAUCGGCCACACUGGAACUGAGACACGGUCCAGACUCCUACGGGAGGCAGCAGUAGGGAAUCUUCCGCAAUGGGCGAAAGCCUGACGGAGCAACGCCGCGUGAGUGAUGAAGGUCUUCGGAUCGUAAAACUCUGUUAUUAGGGAAGAACAAAUGUGUAAGUAACUAUGCACGUCUUGACGGUACCUAAUCAGAAAGCCACGGCUAACUACGUGCCAGCAGCCGCGGUAAUACGUAGGUGGCAAGCGUUAUCCGGAAUUAUUGGGCGUAAAGCGCGCGUAGGCGGUUUCUUAAGUCUG
rnacentral:rRNA from 1 species